ensembl:lncRNA
UAACACUGUUGUUUUUUAUUGGUCUUCAUGAAAAAAAACAUCAGGGGUAACACUGUUGUUUUUCAUUCGUCGUCAUAAACAAAAACAUAAGGGGUAACACUGUCGUUUUUUAUUGGUUGUCAUGAAAAAAAAACAUAAGGGAAAUAAUAGAAACAUACACAUACAUUUUAAUGUCAUGUAGAUCCUCUUUAUUGAUGAUUGGUUAUUGUGUAUUGUCAUCGCCUCAGUGGUGCAGUGGAGUGCACUCUGCCUAACCCACUGAAUAUCGUGGCUCAAUUUAUGUGGAAAACACAAUAUCUUUAAAUUGAAACGUAAUGCUUUCAUGUCUUUUCCACUGUCAUAUAUAACCUCAGACAUAAUUCUAAUACAAUUCUCAGUGGGAAGUGGAGAGAGCUGUGAGCUAACCCCCUGGAGACCGGGGUUCAAGUCCGGUUGAUGACUUCUGUUGUAAGACUCUUAUCUCUAUUUCAUGCGAAUUAUAAAGUCAACUACAACCUUUGUGAUGAUUGUUUCCGCUGUCUUGUUGGUGCAUUGUUAACUUUGGAGGUUAACACUCUAAACAGCUCAGGUUCGAAUCCCCGCAAAAUCAUCGACAGGGAUGAAACUGUAGUAUUUUAUUGGUCAACAUGAAAAAAACAUGAGGGGUAACUGUCGUUUUUUAUUGGUCGUCAUGAAAAAAAACAUAGGGGGUAACAGUGUCGUUUUUUAUUGGUCGUCAUGAAAAAAA